UCCCUGGUGGUCUAGUGGUUAGGAUUCAGUACUUUCACUUCUGUAGCCCAGGUUCAAUACCUAGUCUGGGAA
rnacentral:tRNA from 1 species